rnacentral:lncRNA from 1 species
CCAGCUUCUCCUGCAGUCACCACACCAUCAAGAAGCUUGGAGGCAGCAAGAGAGGUUCAGGUCAUCCUUGCAGUUUCCAUGCAUCUGCUUCUCUAACUGAAUGCUGGCUGAUCCAGAGGAGGAGGUUCACCCCAGGAUUUUGUGGUAUCAGGAAAAGGUACCUCAAGGAAUGGGUAAGCAGAAUGUGAUGGAAGCUUACCCAGAAAUACUACACAGAAGUUAGACAUGGCACGUGGAAUACAUGGCACCAUGAAUAGAUUUAAAAGCAAUGCUUUCUUUAAAGCAAAAUUAAGAAACUACGAAAUUUAUAGUGCAAUAAUUUUUAUGAAAAUUUAAAAAUUCAUCCAUACAUACAGAAAACAACACUAUUUCAGGAUACAUACAAUUUGAAGGACACAUAACAAAUCCUGAAGAGAGCCAGUGGGCAAUGGAGAAUAAAUACAUGCAAAAAGUAACUGAAUACAUAUAGACACACCUAUAAAGUUCAAAGCAAGAGAACCCUUGCUGAGGGCAAUGACGAAAAUGUGCCAGGAACCAAGGAUUAUCUUUCCUGCUACUAAAAGCCCUAGAUGGCUGGACUGUGGGAGACAAAAGAGGGAGCCAUGAGUUGGACCUGGAGGUGGGGUGCAUGCAGUGAAUUCAGCCCCAGGGGCCUGCCUUGGACUGCCUAUGGCAGUUUUUGACUCCAUAGGUCUUGGUACAUGCUACUCUUCUGUCUAGAACACUCUUUCCUCCCCUCUUUACCUAGUUAUCUCCUACUCAGCCUAUUUCUGAGGCCAGUUGUCGCUUUGUAGUGAGAGAAAGAGAUCUUUCCUUCAUUUCUUGACUAUGCUUAAUAUCUUUAUUAUGUUUUUCAUAAACAUAUAUAAACCGUCUUCAGGGAACUCAUUCAGCUUCAACAUUACAAUCUCUUUCUGUAUUUGUUUGAAACUUACCCUACUAGAUGAUAAUCUUCAUGUGUGUACGAGUGUUUCUCUCCAUGGCAGUGCAAGCCUAACCAAGUGUGCUGUGCAUAGUCAGUGCUCAAUUAAAAUACAUUGAUGAAUGAGUGAAUCUAUUUGUUGUUGGUCAGUUGAUUGCUUGAUUAGUUUAAGUUUGUGUCAUGGCAGAGGAUUAGAAAACUGGAUUCAGUGAAAGCCAUCACUGGGCAUUCCCAAGCCUAGUUGAAGGGCCACGUAUAUUCAUGCAUAUUCAUGAAUUAAAUCCAUAUCUAUAUAUUCUAGUUUGGGACUUCAUGAAAUUGCUAACAAUUGUGAAAGCUGCUAUCUGUCUGUCUUUGUGCUUUCUAUUCUCUUCCUCCACUCUCCUCCCUUUGCUCCUUCUACACAAGACCAUGAAGACAUGCCAUUAGUUUUGUGAAUCACCAUUCAGGCUAAAGAGACUAAAUUAUAAUCAACUGAAUAAUUCUCUAUCUAGGAGAUGGUUCACAUUUUGUUAAUAAUUCUUUCUGGACACAUAAUUUGAUGAUUGCAUAUCAUUUCUUUAAUGCUCCUGCUAAGAAAAUUAUAAAUUAAGUCCCUCUUUAUAAAAAAAAAGAUUGCUGUUUCACUAAGCCUGCUGUUAAACUGAGAUUAAUGUUCCAUAUCUGAAGUAUAAAUUACCUAAUAGUUCCUCCCACCACACAGCUCAGGAAUUUAGAAACCCUGUAUCAGGAUUUCCUCCAUAAAUGUGUGCCAUGAAUCUCUCCCUCCUUAAGGCACAUACCAAAAUGGCAUGUUAGAGUAGUCUAGUACAACAAAUUCCAUCCCAAAUAUCUCCAUUUUGAUAAAACUCAAAGGUAUCACACACCAGCACCUUUUCCUCCCCACUUUUCUUUUAUUCUCUCUCCCUCCUUGUUUAAUUAUUGAGCACAUGCAGAAAACUUAUAUACUUUUAAUUCACCUAUCUUUUCUUUUAAAAAUAGUAAGCUACUCACAUUUUUGAAAAGUACUUGAAUCUAUCAUUUCUACAUAAAACAUAUUGUAAAUUUUUUUUUAAAGAGACACUCUGUCCAUUCUUGGUUUUAAUAAAUGUGAAAGCACUUCCUGGACUGGAUUUCAGAUCCCAAAUCCAAGGCUCUCAAGAACUUAGACUCAGGAUUCUAUAAUCAUCUGUGAAAAACAAAUCAGAAAAACUUUUUAUAAAAUAUCAAAGAAUUCUUCCUAUCAAAAUAUGUAUUGCCAUGUAGUGACCCAUGUACAUUUUUACAAAGAUUAUUUUUCAUUUUGCACAAUAAAG